AUUGAACGCUGGCGGAAUGCUUUACACAUGCAAGUCGAACGGCAGCACGGACUUCGGUCUGGUGGCGAGUGGCGAACGGGUGAGUAAUGUAUCGGAACGUGCCCAGUCGUGGGGGAUAACGUAGUGAAAAUUACGCUAAUACCGCAUACGAUCUAUGGAUGAAAGCGGGGGAUCGCAAGACCUCGCGCGAUUGGAGCGGCCGAUAUCAGAUUAUGUAGUUGGUGGGGGAAAGGCCCACCAAGCCAAAGAUCUGUAGCUGGUCUGAGAGGGAGACCAGCCCAACUGGAACUGAGACACGGUCCAGACUCAGACGGGAGGGAGCAGUGGGGAAUUUUGGACAAUGGGCGAAAGCCUGAUCCAGCCAGUCCGCGUGCAGGAUGAAGGCCCUCGGGUUGUAAACUGCUUUUGUACAGAACGAAAAGGUUUCUACUAAUACUAGGAGCUCAUGACGGUACUGUAAGAAUAAGCACCGGCUAACUACGUGCCAGCAGCCGCAGUAA
rnacentral:rRNA from 1 species